rnacentral:rRNA from 1 species
GAGCACGUAGGUGGGUUUGUCGCGUCGCCUGUGAAAUUCCGGGGCUUAACUCCGGGCGUGCAGGCGAUACGGGCAUAACUUGAGUACUGUAGGGGUAACUGGAAUUCCUGGUGUAGCGGUGAAAUGCGCAGAUAUCAGGAGGAACACCGAUGGCGAAGGCAGGUUACUGGGCAGUUACUGACGCUGAGGAGCGAAAGCAUGGGUAGCGAACAGGAUUAGAUACCCUGGUAGUCCAUGCCGUAAACGGUGGGCACUAAGUAGAGGGG